rfam:Schistosoma mansoni strain Puerto Rico chromosome W, complete genome
AGCCUACCGAAUCCGUGUUGAGAUUUCAUCAGACACUAGACCAUCAAUCAGUACUAAUGAGACUCUCAGGAUAAGAAAAGCG